AAAAGUUCUGCAGGCAUAAAGGUUUGGUCCUAGCCUUAUAGUCAACUGUUACUCGACUUACACAUGCAAGUAUCCGCACACCCGUGAGAACGCCCUUUCAACCUUAUUAGGAUAAGGAGCUGGUAUCAGGCACAGAACACCUUGCCCAUAACACCUAGCUAUGCCACGCCUUCAAGGGUAUUCAGCAGUGAUAAACAUUGUCAAUAAGCGCCAGCUUGACCCAGUCAGAGUAAAUAGAGCCGGCCAACCCGGUGCCAGCCGCCGCGGCUAUACCGUCGGGCCCAAGUUGACCAGUGUCGGCGUUAAGCGUGUUUAAAGUGAUAACAUAAAUUAGAAUUAAAUUCUAACCAAGUUGUGACACACUUGCUACGAAGAAACCCAAAAACGAAAGUUAUUUUAACUAAUUCACUUGAAUCCACGACAGCUAGGGUACAAACUGGGAUUAGGUACCCCACUAUGCCUAGCCGUAAAACAUCAACUCACAUUAUUAACCGCCAGGGAAUUACGAGCCCAAGCUUAAAACCCAAAGGACUUGACGGUGCCCCACCCACCUAGAGGAGCCUGUUCUAUAAUCGAUUCUCCCCGAUAUACCUCACCACUUCUAGCCCAAUCAGCCUGUAUACCUCCGUCGUAAGCUUACCAUAUGAACGCUAAACUAGUGAGCCAAAAGAUCUAUCAUCAAUACGUCAGGUCAAGGUGCAGCUUACGAAGUGGGAAGCAAUGGGCUACAGUUUCUAACCUAGAACAAACGAAAGACUACAUGAAACAUAGUCAUGAAGGCGGAUUUAGUAGUAAAAAGAAAAUAGAGAGUUCUUUUUAAUUAGGCGCUGGGACGCGUACACACCGCCCGUCACCCUCUUCAAACGCAACAAUAUUGUUCAUAACAUCAAACUGCCACACAGAAGAGGUAAGUCGUAACAUGGUAAGCGUACUGGAAAGUGCGCUUGGAUUA
rnacentral:ncRNA from 1 species